GACGAACGCUGGCGGCGUGCUUAACACAUGCAAGUCGAACGGAAAGGCCCUGCUUUUGUGGGGUGCUCGAGUGGCGAACGGGUGAGUAACACGUGAGUAACCUGCCCUUGACUUUGGGAUAACUUCAGGAAACUGGGGCUAAUACCGGAUAGGAGCUCCUGCUGCAUGGUGGGGGUUGGAAAGUUUCGGCGGUUGGGGAUGGACUCGCGGCUAAUCAGCUUGUUGGUGGGGUAGUGGCUUACCAAGGCUUUGACGGGUAGCCGGCCUGAGAGGGUGACCGGCCACAUUGGGACUGAGAGACGGCCCAGACUCCUACGGGAGGCAGCAGUGGGGAAUAUUGCACAAUGGGCGGAAGCCUGAUGCAGCAACGCCGCGUGCGGGAUGACGGCCUUCGGGUUGUAAACCGCUUUCGCCUGUGACGAAGCGUGAGUGACGGUAAUGGGUAAAGAAGCACCGGCUAACUACGUG
rnacentral:rRNA from 1 species